UACAGAGGUCUCAAGCGUUGUUCGGAUUCAUUGGGCGUAAAGGGUGCGUAGGCGGCGCGGUAAGUCGGGUGUGAAAUCUCGGGGCUUAACUCCGAAACUGCAUUCGAUACUGCCGUGCUUGAGGACUGGAGAGGAGACUGGAAUUUACGGUGUAGCGGUGAAAUGCGUAGAUAUCGUAAGGAAGACCAGUGGCGAAGGCGGGUCUCUGGACAGUUCCUGACGCUGAGGCACGAAGGCAGGGGAGCAAACGGGAUUAGAACCGU
rnacentral:rRNA from 1 species